UACGUAGGGGGCAAGCGUUGUCCGGAAUCAUUGGGCGUAAAGAGCGUGGAGGCGGCCCGAUAAGUCCGCUGUGAAAGUCCAGGGCUCAACCCUGGGAUGCCGGUGGAUACUGUCGAGCUCGAGUCCGGAAGAGGCGAGUGGAAUUCCUGGUGUAGCGGUGAAAUGCGCAGAUAUCAAGCAGAACACCUGCGGCGAAGGCGGCCUUCUGGACGAUGACUGACGCUGAGACGCGAAAGCGUGGGGAGCAAACAGG
rnacentral:rRNA from 1 species